rnacentral:hammerhead_ribozyme from 1 species
AUCCAUCUGACGAGUCCAAGAUAGGAUGAAACGCGCGUCCUGAAU